rnacentral:rRNA from 1 species
AGGACGAACGCUGGCGGCGUGCUUAACACAUGCAAGUCGAGCGGAAAGGCCCUUCGGGGUACUCGAGCGGCGAACGGGUGAGUAACACGUGAGUAAUCUGCCUUCAGCUCUGGGAUAGCUCCGGGAAACCGGGAUUAAUACCGGAUAUGACUGCCUUGGACAUCUGGGGUGGUGGAAAGUUUUUCGGCUGGAGAUGAGCUCGCGGCCUAUCAGCUUGUUGGUGGGGUAAAGGCCUACCAAGGCGACGACGGGUAGCCGGCCUGAGAGGGCGACCGGCCACACUGGGACUGAGACACGGCCCAGACUCCUACGGGAGGCAGCAGUGGGGAAUAUUGCGCAAUGGGCGGAAGCCUGACGCAGCGACGCCGCGUGGGGAUGGAAGGCCUUCGGGUUGUAACCCUUUCAGCAGGGACGAAGCGCAAGUGACGGUACCUGCAGAAGAAGCGCCGGCUAACUACGUGCCAGCAGCCGC